rnacentral:rRNA from 1 species
AUUGAACGCUGGCGGCAUGCCUUACACAUGCAAGUCGAACGGUAACAGGUCUUCGGAUGCUGACGAGUGGCGAACGGGUGAGUAAUACAUCGGAACGUGCCUAGUAGUGGGGGAUAACUACUCGAAAGAGUGGCUAUUCCGCAUGAGAUCUACGGAUGAAAGCAGGGGAUCGCAAGAACUUGUGCUACUAGAGCGGCCGAUGGCCGGUUAGGGAGUUGGUGGGAUAAAAGCUUACCAAGGCGACGAUCUGUAGCUGGUUUGAGAGGACGAUCAGCCACACUGGGACUGAGACACGGCCCAGACUCCUACGGGAGGCAGCGGUGGGGAAUUUUGGACAAUGGGCGCAAGCCUGAUCCAGCAAUGCCGCGUGCAGGAUGAAGGCCUUCGGGUUGUAAACUGCUUUUGUACGGAACGAAAAGCCCCGGGUUAAUACCCUGGGGUCAUGACGGUACCGUAAGAAUAAGCACCGGCUAACUACGUGCCAGCCGCCGCCGUAA